AGUAGGAAUCUGCGCGUCAAGUGCCGUUGAGACGGGGGGUGCUCGCGGACGAAAAGUCGGACGACUUGCGGUGCUUAUUCCACUCCCGGCU
rnacentral:ncRNA from 2 species